AUGAAACAGGGACAGGAGGAGAAUGGAGAUAAGUCAGGAAACAAUGAAUUUAAAGAGGAAGCUCAGGUGGUUCGCUCUAAACUCUCCCAGCAAACUACAUUUAAAAAACAGGAUAGUCAAAAAUCCACUCUAGAUAUUUUUAAAACACCUAGCAAUCAAAUAAAACAAGUAAAAAGAGUUGAUCCCUCAGGAGGAUUUGCCAGGGCUGACCGCAGGGAGGAGAAGGCAAGAUUGAUUUAUAGCAGUGAUAAAGAGGAGAGUGAGAAUAAGACAGAUAACUUCAAAAUUCCGGCUACAUUUAUUGGAGAAUUGGAGCGUCAGGAGCCUGUUGAAGCUCAGACAGAAUUAUAUGAAAAGGAUCAGGGUUCAAGUACGGGAAAUUGUGAGUUAGAAUUGUGGGAGGAAAGUGAGAUGGCACAUGGGUUCCUUACGAGGUGUAAAGAGGAAUGGAUGUGUGCCACAGGGUGCCAUCCUGGCUCAGAUAAUCUACACACCACUUUAUUCCGUCAGGCCAUAAUUUUAGGACUUCCACAAUUAGUGAAAGAAGCCAUGGAAGGAAAUCCUGACCUUCCAGGCAGCACAGCAGAUGUCUGGGAGAGACAUCUUUCACACCACAUCAACACAUUUAAAGCUAAACAACAGGGAAAGAAAGAGGAGGUGGUGACAGCGCAGGAACAGCUCCUAAAAAUACAGUUAGAUGAAGCACUGAAAAAGCUUAAUGAUAAACAAAAGGAAGAGAAACAGAUGGUUCAGCAGUUUCCUCGGCAGGUGCAGCCAGAUCAGUUAUGUCCGCAACAGGAUUUUGCUCUGAUAAACCCGUAUUGGGUCAGUCCAAGGGGAGGCAUGUGUGGGAGACACGGCGGGCAGGGAUACGGCUUGAUAGGCGGGGUACUUAGGCCGAGAUCAGUGUCACGCCUGCAAAGGGUAUGGUCAUUGGCAAAGGGACUGUCCAUAUCGCAACUAUCCGGAGGUACCAGGCAGUGUUCCACCAUCUCAUGGAAUUUAUCACUGGGGCCGAUCUCAUCUGACACCGUCGAGCUUGUGGGGCUCUCAGGGAGACCGGAGAGACUGACAGACCAGGAUGGACAAGAUUUUAACUGCACCACACAUAACAUACACACAUGA
rnacentral:lncRNA from 1 species